GACAAGGGGAAUCCGACUGUUUAAUUAAAACAAAGCACUUUGCAUAAGAUGACAAAUCAAAGUAUUGAGUGUGAAUUCUGCCCGAUGUUGGCUGGUUAACGGAUUUUCUUAGCCGACUAAAAUAAGCUAGGUUUUGAAGGAAACCCCAAUCAAUGGCGGCCUUAACGAUAAGGGUCCUAAGGUAGCGGAAUACCUUGGCCGUUAAAUGCGGUCUUGCAUGAAUGAUUUAACGAUACAACAGCUGUCUCAAUGAUUGGCUCAGUGAAAUUGGAAUAACUGUGCAGAUACAGUUUACCUCUAGUUAGACGAGAAGACCCUAUGCAGCUUUACUGUUUGUAGUUAUUGGAUACAAUGGAACAAGUUGUAGCGUAUAAGGUAGUUG
rnacentral:rRNA from 1 species